UACGAGUGCCUCAAGCGUUAUCCGGAAUUAUUGGGCGUAAAGGGUGUGUAGGUGGCCUUGUUAGUCUCACGUUAAAUUCUUCGGCUUAACCGAAGACAUGCAUGGGAAACGGCAAGACUAGAGGAUGCGAGAGGAGAGUGGAACUCAUAGUGUAGCGGUGAAAUGCGUUGAUAUUAUGGGGAACACCAAAAGCGAAGGCAGCUCUCUGGAGCAUUCCUGACACUGAAACACGAAAGCGUGGGUAGCGAAUGGG
rnacentral:misc_RNA from 1 species